CCCUCCCUCCUCUUCUCUCUCUCCAUGAGCGGCUCUGUCACUUACACGUGCGCACCUUCGCGUCACGUGACCCUAAACGCCACAACAACAACAGCGGCUCGUCAGAAUGUCACACAAAAUGUAGACAUAACAGGAUAACAUGGUAACCAAUGCCAAGGUCAUCGCUCUCUAGCAGCUGGGCUGAAGUUUCUCAGCAAGCGCCAUGCUCAAGUGCCAGACUGCACGUAUACAUUUUCUACUCAACUUAUAUUCACAGUUCUUGCAUCGAGGAAGACAUCGGGGUGACUUUGACAACAGAGCAAGGAUGUUCAGUUAUGCAUCUGCUGUCAUGGUGAGCACAUGCUGCACAGGGGAGCUCCGUGUGACUAUACCUUCCACUUGUGUCACUGUUAAAACCCAGUGUAUGUGACCAGUGAAAAUACAGCACAACAAUGCAGAUUAUAAAUUACCACAUUAAAUGACACCUGAAUUUCACCACUGUAAGGUGAAGCUGCAUCACAGAAAGAUGCUUCACAAGCAGCUUCAGCAUAACUCCACCAGCUUUAUUGCAAUAGUUAACCAAUAGUUUACGCAAAAUUAAAAUUUUCAUUUAAUCUCCUCAUGUUGGGACUUUUUUACUUUUUUUGGUACAAAGGAAACUUGUUAGGACUUUUUUU